GGCUGGUUGGCUCAGUUGGUUAGAGCGUGGUGCUAACAGCAUCAAGGUCGCGGGUUCGAUCCCCGUACGGGCCA
rnacentral:tRNA from 1 species